AGUGCAUGAAACACUGCUAAGUUUCAAGGGUAAACGAGGUGAACAAACCGUAGCUUCUGGAUCAAGAUGGCUCCAGGAAGACAUUACAGCUCCCUUGGUGCCAGUGGGACCUACAUCCCAACUAAGACUGUCAGCUACACUCCCUGCCACAAUCUUCUCCUGCAGGGUCCUGGAGCCAUUGCCAGCAGUCCUUAGAGCACUAGACAUCCUGCCUGUGUCCUCAGCAUUGAAUCAAAUGCUUUCCCUGACUCCCCAUCAUGCAUGUCUUUAUCGUUGGGGUAGUCAUUGGGGAGAGAAGUGUGACCCCAGGCCAGGAAACCCUCAGAUCCAGUCCUGCAGACUCAGACUUACAGAUCGAAAGAGAAAGCCCUAAACGUUCAAGACUCUUGGUUUGUGGUAAUCCAUAGAAACUGGAUGAUGAAAUACAAGCAGGUCUGUUGCUUAACAA